UUAUGGCCAUAUCAUAUUGAAACACCUGUUCCCAUACAAAUACUAAAGUUAAACAACAUUGAGCCUGUUCAGUACCAAGAUAGGUGACCUCUUGGGAAUAUCAGAUGUUGUAAG